AUGCUUAAGUCUGUCAGAAUCAUGUUAGCAAUUGCUGCAUUUUAUGAUUAUGAAAUUUGGCAGAUGGAUGUCAAAACUGCAUUCCUGAAUGGAUUUCUGGAAGAAGAGUUGUAUAUGAUGCAACCGGAAGGUUUUAUCGAUCCAAAGGAAGCUAACAAAGUGUGCAAGCUCCAGCGAUCCAUUUAUGGACUGGUGCAAGCCUCUCGGAGUUGGAAUAAACGCUUUGAUAGUAUGAUCAAAGCAUUUGGUUUUAUACAGACUUUCGGCGAAGCCUGUAUUUACAAGAAAGUGAGUGGGAGCUCUGUAGCAUUUCUGAUAUUAUAUGUGGAUGACAUAUUGCUGAUUGGAAAUGAUAUAGAAUUUCUGGAUAGCAUAAAGGGAUACUUGAAUAAGAGUUUUUCGAUGAAAGACCUCGGUGAAGCUGCUUACAUAUUAGGCAUAAUGACCUAUAGACAUAGAUCAAGACGCUUAAUUUGA
rnacentral:rRNA from 1 species